CCUACGGGUGGCAGCAGUGGGGAAUAUUGCACAAUGGGCGAAAGCCUGAUGCAGCAACGCCGCGUGAGUGAUGAAGGCCUUCGGGUUGUAAAGCUCUGUCUUCUGGGACGAUAAUGACGGUACCAGAGGAGGAAGCCACGGCUAACUACGUGCCAGCAGCCGCGGUAAUACGUAGGUGGCAAGCGUUGUCCGGAUUUACUGGGCGUAAAGGAUGCGUAGGCGGAUAUUUAAGUCAGAUGUGAAAUUCCCGGGCUCAACUUGGGAGCUGCAUUUGA
rnacentral:rRNA from 1 species